GGUUUCAUAGUGUAAUGGUUAGCACUCUGGGCUCUGAAUCCAGUGAUUUGAGUUCAAAUCUCAAUGAAACCU